rnacentral:misc_RNA from 1 species
GUCCGCCGCUGCGAGCGCAACUUCUACUUGGGUCUUUUCAAAACCCAUUGAUACUAAUUUUUGAAUCUCUGCAUCAGGGGCAACUGAUCUCUGGUUUUGCAUUGGGUUUGCUCGGUCUACUACUGCACUAUUGUUGUGCCUUCCAUCAGAUGACUGACGGUCUGCAGAACUCCUAUCCAAUAACCUAGUCUGCAGGUUAAACUCUGAAUCAUCAGCAGAAACUGUUUGGCUUUGGGCGGAACCAAGUGUUCUUCCACGUCCAGGAAAUCUGUUGUCUUGUUGUGGCUGUACCACCUCAGUAACCGUUUCUCUGUGCGGCAUCCAUGAAGAUAUGUUUCUCCAAACAUUAGGAAAGGAGAGGCCAUUGGACAUGGUAUUUUGGCCAGAAUAUGUUGGAAGUUGGGCAGAGGGAUUUCCACCAGUGCACAAAAUAAAUUUAGGUCGCCUCACACAAGAAGAAAGCAAAGAGGAAGACUCCAUAGCAGAAUAAAAGGACGUUCCAGGUAAAAGAAAAUUUAAUAGCCCAUAAAUAUAUGCAAAUCCAGUCAGUAUGCCACAUAGGUGCCCUAGAAAUGAGACGUUUGUCAUUAGAAGCUGGAACACCACCAACAAAAUCCACACAU